UACGGAGGGUGCAAGCGUUAUCCGGAUUCACUGGGUUUAAAGGGUGCGUAGGAGGGCAGGUAAGUCAGCGGUGAAAUCCCCGAGCUUAACUUGGGAACUGCCAUUGAUACUAUCUGUCUUGAAUAUUGUGGAGGUGAGCGGAAUAUGUCAUGUAGCGGUGAAAUGCUUAGAUAUGACAUAGAACACCAAUUGCGAAGGCAGCUCGCUACACAAAUAUUGACUCUGAGGCACGAAAGCGUGGGGAUCAAACAGG
rnacentral:rRNA from 1 species